rnacentral:lncRNA from 1 species
GUGCGUUGUAUUGGGAUUGCCAGAGAUCUCAAUGAAACUUUUGGGCCCGUUAUUAUGGUUUUAAAUUUUAGUACCACAGUUGUUGCACUAGUAAAAUACUAUCAUACAUUGAGCAUAUCUUUUAUUAGUGAUUAAUUUGAAAAUCAUUUUACUAUUAGUAUUUUUGAAAUGUCGACCCAUGUCGACGUGGCAUCAUUUUUGAAGUUCUAGUACUCCUGGGUAUUUCUUUGCGCAAAAUUCCAUGCACCAGACUUACGGCCAAAUGCAAUACCAGUGAGCAUAAGAAUUAAACGCGUUAGCAAGCAG